rnacentral:rRNA from 1 species
AUGGUCGGGAGAGGUGAUAUGGUGUUGUCUUGGACAGAUAGAUGGAUACAUGGUUUCACCGUGGAAGAUAUUGCGCCUUUGCUCGCUACUCGUGUGGAUGUCAAAACGAAGAACAAUAGGAUAUUCUCACAAGUGCUUGUGAAUGAAAGAUGGACUUCGGACUUGCAUCCUGAUACGUCAUUCUUUCGCUGCUUCAACUGGUGCACCCUAGGCAUGCCAUUGCCACAGUUCAGAGGGAUGGUGAGGCACCAGAUGUGUUUGAGUGGCCUGCCACGGCUUCAGGCAUCUACUCAGCAAAGUCCACCUACGUGUAUCUUUGUCAAGGUCUCAUUCGGCACAGCUAGGCACGUUUAA